UACGUAGGGAGCAAGCGUUGUCCGGAAUCAUUGGGCGUAAAGAGCGCGUAGGCGGUCCGAUAAGUCGGCUGUGAAAGUCCAGGGCUCAACCCUGGAAAGCCGGCCGAUACUGUCGGACUAGAGUCCGGAAGAGGCGAGUGGAAUUCCCGGUGUAGCGGUGAAAUGCGCAGAUAUCAGGAAGGACACCAAUGGCGAAGGCAGCUCUCUGGGACGGUACUGACGCUGAGACGCGAAAGCGUGGGGAGCGAACAGG
rnacentral:rRNA from 1 species